AGAGUUUGAUCCUGGCUCAGGAUGAACGCUAGCGGCAGGCUUAACACAUGCAAGUCGAGGGGCAGCACGAUGUAGCAAUACAUUGGUGGCGACCGGCGCACGGGUGCGUAACACGUAUGGAACUUGCCCUUUACUGGGGGAUAGCCCGGAGAAAUCCGGAUUAAUACCCCAUAACAUAUUGAGUGGCAUCACUUGAUAUUAAAAGCUCCGGCGGUAAAGGAUGGCCAUGCGCACGAUUAGCUAGUAGGUGAGGUAACGGCUCACCUAGGCUACGAUCGUUAGGGGGCCUGAGAGGGUUAUCCCCCACACUGGUACUGAGACACGGACCAGACUCCUACGGGAGGCAGCAGUGAGGAAUAUUGCGCAAUGGAGGCAACUCUGACGCAGCCAUGCCGCGUGCAGGAAGAAGGCGCUACGCGUUGUAAACUGCUUUUAACCGGGAAGAAACCCCAGGACGUGUCCUGGGUUGACGGUACCGGAGGAAUAAGCACCGGCUAACUUCGUGCCAGCAGCCGCGGUAAUACGAAGGGUGCAAGCGUUAUCCGGAUUCAUUGGGUUUAAAGGGUGCGUAGGUGGGGCGAUAAGUCAGUGGUGAAAUCCUGCAGCUUAACUGUAGAAUUGCCAUUGAUACUGUCGCUCUUGAGUACGCUUGACGUGGGCGGAAUGUGCCGUGUAGCGGUGAAAUGCUUAGAUAUGGCACAGAACACCGAUAGUGAAGACAGCUCACGAAGGCGAGACUGACACUGAGGCACGAAAGCGUGGGGAUCGAACAGGAUUAGAUACCCUGGUAGUCCACGCCGUAAACGAUGAUCACUCGUGAUUGGCGAUAUACGGUCAGUCACCUAGCGAAAGCGUUAAGUGAUCCACCUGGGGAGUACGAUCGCAAGAUUGAAACUCAAAGGAAUUGACGGGGGCCCGCACAAGCGGUGGAGCAUGUGGUUUAAUUCGAUGAUACGCGAGGAACCUUACCAGGGCUCGAACGCACGUAGACAGUCGCGGAAACGUGAUCUUCUUCGGACUGCGUGCGAGGUGCUGCAUGGCUGUCGUCAGCUCGUGCCGUGAGGUGUCGGGUUAAGUCCCAUAACGAGCGCAACCCCUACUGUUAGUUGCCAGCGAAUCAUGCCGGGGACUCUAACGGAACUGCCCGCGUAAGCGGUGAGGAAGGUGGGGACGACGUCAAGUCAUCACGGCCCUUACGUCC
rnacentral:rRNA from 1 species